CUACGGGCUGCUGCAGUAAGGAAUAUUGCGCAAUGGAGGCAACUCUGACGCAACCAUGCCGCGUGCAGGAAGAAGGCCUUAUGGGUCGUAAACUGCUUUUAUUUAGGAAUAAACCCCCGAACGUGUUCGGGGCUGAAGGUACUAAACGAAUAAGCACCGGCUAACUCCGUGCCAGCAGCCGCGGUAAUACGGAGGGUGCAAGCGUUAUCCGGAUUUAUUGGGUUUAAAGGGUGCGCAGGCGGGCUAUUAAGUCAGUGGUGAAAUCCCGGGGCUCAACUCCGGAACUGCCAUUGAUACUGAUAGUCUUGAGUUUGGUUGAAGUGGGCGGAAUGUAGCAUGUAGCGGUGAAAUGCAUAGAUAUGCUACAGAACACCAAUCGCGAAGGCAGCUCACUAAGCCAAAACUGACGCUCAUGCACGAAAGCGUGGGGAUCAAACAGGAUUAGAUACCCGAGUAGUC
rnacentral:rRNA from 1 species